rnacentral:hammerhead_ribozyme from 1 species
AUCCAGCUGACGAGUCUCAAAUUAGACGAAGCGUGCGUCCUAGAU